UCGAAUGAAUCUUUCCCCCAAUUCGAAUCGAUCGAUCCAAUGGUGUGGUUUCAGUGCGAAGAUUGUGGCGAGAGUCUGAAGAAGCCAAAGCUACCGAGGCACUUCAGUAUGUGCAGUGCCACCAAGUUAUCUUGCAUUGACUGUGGAAACAUGUUUGGGCAAGAUAGUGUUCACUAUCAUAAUCAAUGCAUCACCGAGGCUGAGAAAUAUGGUCCAAAGGGGCUAUAUAAUGGCGAAAACUCGAAACAAAAUCAGCACGAUUUCUAUAUGAAUGCUGAGUUAUACAACAACCCUUCAUGGUUCUGUAGCUUAUGUGAUGCAAAUAUGACCUGCGAGCAAGAUUAUUUUGCCCAUGUCCAUGGAACGAAACAUCUAGAUAAAGAAAGAGAGGUUGCUGAACAACCAACUAUUGAUAAGAACAACUUAAAACAACAGCCCGACUUAGACAUUUAUGUCGGGUUAUCAAACCACUAUCCAUGGUUCUGUAGCUUGUGUAACAUAAACGCUACCAGCCAGCAUACUUUGUUAUCCCAUGCCAAUGGGAAGAAACACCGAGCAAAUGUCAAACAGUUUGAUGCUGAAAAACAGCAAAGGGAAUCAGAACAACAGACCGAAGUUGAUAUAAAUGUCGGGUUAUCAAAUUGUUAUCCAUGGUUUUGUAGCUUGUGUAACGCAAAGGCUACCAGCCAACAGACUUUGUUAUCACAUGCCAAUGGGAAAAAACACCGAGUGAAUGUUGAAUGGUUUCUUGCUGAACAAGAACAACAAUUAGAAACACCCACGGUGGAUAAGAAGGAUACAAAUGAAAAUGCAUCUGAUGGUGAUUUCGAACUGAAGAAAGUAUAUUUGCCUGUCUCUUCAGGUGUUGCAGAUGGAUAUUCACAGGCUGACAAAAAGAGAAAGCUAGAGACUUUCGAUGAAACACAGAACAGGGACGUAAUUCAGGCUAAAGAAGCAAAAGGAGGGCGUGAGGAAAAGAGUGAAUCUAAUAGAGCGAAGAAGCAAGACAGUGAGAGGAAGGGAAACAAGGACAAAAAGCAGACUAAGUCAGACUCUGAUUUCGAGUAUGACAAGGAAGACAUAAAACAGCUGUUGGUAUCUUACUCCAAGGAAGAGCUUGUUAACCUUGUAUACAAGACUGCCGAGAAGGGCUCUCGAUUGUUCUCUGCCAUCAUUGAGUCAGCGGACCGUGACAUUGCUCGCCGCAAUAUGUUUGUGCGUGGCUUUGGAUGGGACACAACACACGAGAACCUCAAGGCUGCUUUUGAGUCAUAUGGGGAGAUAGAGGAUUGCUCAGUGGUCAUGGACAAGGACACUGGAAGAGCUAAAGGGUACGGGUUCGUGUUGUUCAAGACGCGGAAGGGAGCAAGAGAGGCACUAAGAAAUCCAGAGAAGAGGUUGUACAACCGCACAGUGGUAUGUAAUCUAGCAUCAAAGAAGCCGUCUGGGGCUGGAAAGGUGCAAGAUAUCGUUGAGGCGGUGAAGAUUGAUCUAACUCAGAGUGAAGCGGCAUUCCCGGGGCUCGAACUGUCCCACCAGCAUGUACUCGAGGAUAAGCACCAGCAGCAGACUAUGGACAUGUACAGACAGAACAUACCUUAUUACGGACACCCCCAGCUUCCUGUUUUUGACCCUAUGUAUGGUGCAUUACAUGGUAAUCAAAUGGUAGCUGGUCCACCAAACUAUUGUAUGUUUGGUUCGGGUAUGAUGAUGAACCAGGGAUCGAUGUUGCCACCACCUGAUCAUAUGGGCAUGGCAGAGCAAUAUGUUGGUGAUGGCCAACAUGCUUGGUAUCAGAGGUAGCUGAGAUCAAUUGGUAAACCUAAGUAUGUUUGGCGAUGGGCGGACAUGGAGUUAUGGUUAUUGUAAGAAAGGAAACAUUUGGUAGUAUGUUCUUGUUUGGUGGACCGGGAGGGGAUGCUUGUGGAAUCUAAUAUUUAUGUGAUGAUGAUGAAUUGAUGUUCUUCGUCUUUCUAAUAAAACACUUUAUUAGCAAAUGAGCAAAUGAUCUAAUACUAUUAUUUACCAUAAUAUAUAUAUACCAGCCCCAUUAAAGCUCACCCAAAUGAUCUAUGCCUUCGAACGGGUGAACUUUUGCACUCCCUCGAACUCGACGACGGACAAAGACACAAACUCCCAAAAGUAUAAAUAUAAGGAUGAGGUAAACUCGAUAUACGAACGAUGGGUCUUCAUAAGCUAGCGGAAUCGGACAUUAGUGAAUCAAAAGCUUUUGAGAAUGUUUUAAAUUUUUUUUUUUUUUUUUUUUUGCAAAAAAUUUGCUUUAAAUUCUCUCCAAAAAUGCUAGCAAAAAUACUAUAAUAGAUUAUAAUAUCAUCGUUUUACUUUUCUCUU